UGACUCUAAUGAAGUCUCUGAGGCUUCUGCAGAUUAAUCUCCACCACUGUAAAGCAGCAUCCGCUGCCCUGAUACUCCGCUUAGUCGCGAGCGGAGGGGACAUAGUCCUAAUCCAAGAGCCCUGGGUGGUAGGAGGCAGGGUCUGUGGAUUAGCGACGAAGGACUACAAGCUGAUUGUAGCCCAAACUUAAGCAAUGGCGACAACACGGCGGCUAGCCUAGAGCUACAAGGGACACGCCUGAACCUGGUGUCGUCCUACAUGGCUCAUGAAGAAAGCGAUCCUCCCAGUGACCUCGUUCGCAAGAUUGCCAGCGACAGCGAGAGGUCGAAUACAAGCCUACUAAUAGGCUGCGAUGCCAACGCUCAUCACACCCAAUGGGGGAGCUCGGAUACAAAUGUAAGGGGUGAGUCACUUUUCAGCUUCAUCCUAAACUCCAACCUAAUUAUUGGUAAUCGGGGUAAUGACCCCACUUUUAUCAUAAAAAACCGUCAAGAGGUUAUUGACCUCACUCUAUUGUCUCACAAACUGUCAGACAUAAUGAAAAGUUGGAGAGUCCUAGAGGACCACUCCUUCUCCGACCACAGGUACAUCGAGACAAUCCUAUCGCUCGAAAGCACCAUACCCACUAGCUAUAUAAACCCAAGAAAA